rnacentral:lncRNA from 1 species
ACUAGGAAAAUUUCGUGAAUUAUUCGCCAAGAAGUUCAUAAAAUUGAUGAAAGAAGAUAUGAAUGCUUAGUUCAGGGUUGGAACCCUAAUACCGACUAGCUGGGGAGAAGUUCAGUUUUAGAGUUGAAACUCUAAUACUGACCAACUGGGGAAAAGUUCAGUUUAGGGUCGGGGCCCUAAUGCUGACUAAAGAAAAAGUUCAGUUUAGGGUUUAAAACCCUAAUGCUGACUGAAAGGAAAAAGUUCAGUUUAGGGUUUAAAACCCUAAUGCUGACUGAAAGGAAAAAUUCAGUUUAGGGUUUAAAACCCUAAUGCUGACUGAAUGGAAAGAGUUCAGUUUAGGGUUAAACCCUAAUGCUGACUAAAGGGAAAGAGUUCAGUUUAGGGUUUAAAACCCUAAUGUUGACUGAAAGGAAAAGUUCAGUUUA